CCUACGGGCGGCAGCAGUGGGGAAUAUUGGACAAUGGGGGGAACCCUGAUCCAGCCAUGCCGCGUGUGUGAAGAAGGCCCUCGGGUUGUAAAGCACUUUCAGUGAGGAAGAACGCCUGGUGGUUAAUACCCAUCAGGAAAGACAUUACUCACAGAAGAAGCACCGGCUAACUCCGUGCCAGCAGCCGCGGUAAUACGGAGGGUGCGAGCGUUAAUCGGAAUUACUGGGCGUAAAGCGCGCGUAGGUGGCUUGAUAAGCCGGUUGUGAAAGCCCCGGGCUCAACCUGGGAACGGCAUCCGGAACUGUCAAGCUAGAGUGCAGGAGAGGAAGGUAGAAUUCCCGGUGUAGCGGUGAAAUGCGUAGAGAUCGGGAGGAAUACCAGUGGCGAAGGCGGCCUUCUGGACUGACACUGACACUGAGGUGCGAAAGCGUGGGUAGCAAACAGGAUUAGAUACCCUAGUAGUC
rnacentral:rRNA from 1 species